GUUUGGCAGGAGGACAGAGACAAGAGCCACCUCUGGGACAGAACCAGGGCGCACGGGAAACCUUCGCAUUUAUGGUCACUUUAUGGACUUAUUUUUUUGGCACGGACCGCAGCGGUGACUUGAGCCGUAGCGGUGACAACACCGGAUCCUUAACCUGCUAGGCCGCCAGGGAACUCCCGGGGUCACUUUAACACAGGGGGCCAAGACAAUUUCAUGGAGAAAGAACAGUCUGUUCAACAAAUGGUGCUGGGACCCCUGGGGACCAACACCCCAGGCAAAGGAAUGAAAUCGUUUCAUUUUCCUGAAGACUAUUAUUAUUUUAUUAACGUAUAGUUGAUGUACAGUGUUGUGGCAGUGUCUGCUGGACAGCAAAAUGACCCGGCCACACACACACAACCACUCCCUUUCUUGUAUUGUGUUCCCUCCCAAGAGACUGGGUAUGGAUCCCUGGCUUAUACGCAGGGCCCCUUGCUUCGCUGUUCUAAAUGUGACAGUUUGCAUCACCUAACCUCACACUCCCAGGCCGUCCCCUCCGUCCCCCUCGGCCACCUGUUCUCCAUGUCUGUGCGAAACGAAUGACACUGAACCCCUCUUUCACAUCAUGAGAACAAUUAACUCAUCGGGGCGAAGGCCUAAAUAUAAGGGCUGUAACCCUAAAGCGCUUGGAAGAAAGUCCAGGCGUACGUCUUCACCUUCGGCAAACGCUUCUUAGAUGCGACACGGACAGCAGAAGCAACAACAACAACAAAAAAUUAGACUUCAUCAGAAUUGGAAAACUUUUGUGCUGCGAACAGUUCCCACAGGAAAGUGCAGAAACAGCCCAUGGAAAGAGAGAAAACACUGGCAGUUACAACUCUAAUUAGGAAUCUGGGGCUGGAAUCUACACAGAUCGCUUCACCACCGAAUAAGAUCAGCAGCCCAGUUUGGACAUGGGCACAAUAUCCGAGUAGGCCUCUCUUCAAAGAAGAUGGACCAAGGCCACGAAGCUCAUGAAAAGAUGCUGAACGUUAUUAGCCACCGGGAGACAAACGUCAGGAUCAGCCUUCCCGCCAGGACGGCUCGAAUCAAGAAGACACAGAACCGCGGAGUUCCCGUCGUGGCGCAGUGGUUCCUGAAUCCGACCAGGACCAUCAGGUGGCGGGUUCGAUCCCUGGCCUUGCUCCGUGGGUUAAGGAUCCGGUGUUGCCGUGAACUGGGGUGUAGGUCGCAGACGCAGCUCGGAUCCCGUGUCACAGUGGCUGUGGUGCAGGCCGGGCGGCUACAGCUCCGAUUCGACCCCUAGCCUGGGAACCUCCAUAUGCCGCGGGAGCAGCCCUAGAAAAGGCGAAAAGACAAAAAAAAAAAAAAAGAACAGCAAGUGUUGGAUGAGGAGGCACUGAAACCCGCACCUGGCUGGUGGGAAUGGGAAAUGCGGCAGCCACCCUGGAAACGUGUUGGGACUCCCUCGACACGAGAAACUCAGUGUUACCGUCUGGCCAGCAGUGCCAGUCCUCGGUGUACACACACCCAAGAGGGCUGGACACACACGUUCACGUGAAAACUUCCGCGUCAGUGUUCAUGGCGUGUCCACACUGUCCUCAAACGGGGAACAGCCCAAAGGCCCCUCCAGACGAAUGAAUGCGUGACGGGACCUGCUGCCUCCUCCCGGUGGACUCUUACUGGGCCGUCCAAGGGACGCACCCGCCUGUAAGCGACGACACGCGAGAACUCAGAAGCACUGGACCAAGGGAAGCGAACCAGCCACAAGAGCCCGGCGCAGAGGCGUCCCUUCCCGCGAAGUAUCCGGAACAGGCAGAUCCACAGAGGCAGAAAGCACGAUGGUGGCGGAUGGACAGAAAGACAGCCCAGGGUCUGGGGUGAUGGUGGAGAGUGGGGGGACUGCCAUGGGUUUCCUCUGCGGUGAAAAGCACAUUCUCAAAUCGGAUGGUGGCAGAACCCUGUGGAGAUGCUGAAAACCAUCGACGAGCACAGUCGAAACGGGUAACUGUGGGGGACGCAGAUUGGCCCUCGAGAAAGACAAAUACCGUAUGAUGUCACUUGCAUCUGGAAUCUAACAUUCGGCCCGCGUGAGCCUUGCCACAGGGAGGAAACUCAUGGAUUUGGAGAACAGACGGGUGGCUGCCGAGGGGGAGUCUGGGGUGAUUGGAUGCACACGACUGCCUCUGGAGUGAGAAGCAGUGGGGUCCUGCUGCACAGCACUGGGGACUCUAUCCGGUCACCUCUGACGGAGCAGGAUCAUCGGAGCAAAAAGAAGGUCCACAUGUAUGUGUGACUGGGUCACCUUGCUGCACAGGAGAAAACGGACAGAGCACCGUAAGCCAGCUCUAAUGGAAAAAAAUAAACGUCAUUAAAAAUUUUAAAAGAAAGGACUUAUCCCUCGAGAAAGCAGUUAAAACAAAAGAGAGCCUUGGGUUCAAGUUCUGGCUCAGCUCUCGGGCGCCUCCAAGCCUCCGUCGGUCCACGAAGUUCCGUCUGCCCUGCAAACCAGGGCGGAAAGACUCGCCCUCCUGGGUUACUGCGGGGACCCGAUGCGAUGACAGCGAUGAAGCAAGUUUUCAUUCCACCUUCUGUAUCUACGUGUAUGACAAAAGGAAAUGCAUGCACAUUGUCCAGCAUUCAAAGGGCAGGUGCACGGGGAGAAGUCUCAUUUCCCGGGGUGGCUGGGCUGCCGAGUCACAGAUGUGUCCGUUUGUCCCUGUACCCUUCAGGAGGGUGAACUUCACUGCGGAGCCGUAAUAGCUAGAAAACACCCUUAAAGAAAUUCCCUCCUCUCUCCCCUGUCUCCUAGCCCUCCACUUUCCCCUGCCCUUUGCACACCCAAGCCACCAAAAGCCCAUUUUGUUACAUACGAAGUUAAAAAGAAAAUAGAUAAAAGUCCCGUGUACAGUUCUGCAUCGUCUCGUGCCCCUAAAGACCGCCCGUCGAGAUGGGGUCAAACGCGACCCGCUUGCCCGGCUGCUGGCGCCUCUCCGCACCUGCGAGCACACCCCCAGCGGCAUCCACGGUGUUCCUCAUUUGCUGCUGUUACACAGAGUGCUUCGGCCGAUGACCUUGUGUGCGGUAAUAGACCAUUUUUCCUAUUUGUGAGCAGUCUCUGGAGGACAGAUUCCUAGAAGCAAAUGCUGGGCCAAAAGGUACAUAUAUUUGGAAUCUGGACAUUGUUCCGAGGCUCCCAGAGUGUCUGGUUCCCCACACCAUGGCAACACGGCGUGUCAUUAAUCUUUACUCCUUGGCUCUCCGAUGAAUAAAACACUCAUUUCUC
rnacentral:lncRNA from 1 species